CAUUGUUCUCAGGGCGGGGUGUAAUUCCCCACCGGCGGUAAAGGCAGCGAUGCCAAGCCCGCGAGCGCCUUCGGACUCAAAGGUCCGUGGGGUCAGCAGAUCCGGUGUAAUUCCGGAGCCGACGGUCAUAGUCCGGAUGAAAGAGAACGGGA
rnacentral:ncRNA from 2 species